AUGAUUCUCAGACGGAAACGGCAAAGCAGGAAGACAACAUGUAAAGGCUGCUCAACUAUAUCAUUCUCGGAUUGUAUCUUUUACUGUAUGGAGCCAGCCACUCGCAAACCAUCAGGAGUCACUUGGGAUCUUACAGGUGAUGCUAUAUUGAGUGUGGUGAUGCUUCUGAUUCCAGGCUAUGUCAUGCUCAAAUCAAGAAUAGGUUGA